rnacentral:lncRNA from 1 species
CAGCAGAACGGCACCGAAGCUCCCAUGACGGUGAAGUGAAGGGAUCAGAUGUUCAGUUCGGUUUUCUUGAUGUACAAAGUUGCACCGAUUCUCACCUGAACUUAUGCAACGCGGAAAACAGGUUGUCUGAAUGUGUGGCAGACGUCUGUCACAUGGAUCAUCGCUGUGCUGUGUAUACCAAAUCCAGUAAUCCGUGAUCCUUUUUCUGAACGAAGGUGAGUCUCUGAUCCUGACGUCGAAUACUCCCUUCGUCCCGCAUAGACCGUUCGUUUAGAAAAUUUUAGAUAAGGUAGUAGCAAUACUAAAAGUUCAAAGUAUCCUUAAUAAUUCUUUUUAAUCGGAUGGAAUACCGAGUAGAAUUAAUUAUGCAUGCACGAUUGCAGUAGUUGUCGAACCUAUUAGCCUUCCUUAUCUAGUGAGUCUGGCUCGAGCAUCGAUAUUGGGAGUAAAUGAUCAAUUCGUUUAUUGGGUCGAAGGUAUUAUGAGGGUCUCUGUUGGAUUGUCUGAAAGUUAUAUGAAUAUUCUUUGUGGGACAAGUUUUGAAGGUUAAACGAGGAGAGGAAGUAUAUCAGUUGUAGCAGCCGUAACACAAGUGAUUUUCGCCUUUGCCGUUCCAAAACGAACAAUAAAAAGGGCAUCCGUGACAAAAGGGUUAUAGGCCGAACGGGCUAACAAGAUAGUGGGCCUGCCCUGGUCCGGCUCACUCUGCUUUCAUGGGCUAGUUUGCCAACGCUUCCAACAACUUCGCCAGAUCUUUGAACUUUUUUUAUUCGUUAGACCUUUGACUCGGGAGGCGUUUGGUUCCCUUUGCUUAUUUUUAGCACGUGUCACAUCGAAUGUUGAGAUACUAAUUAGAAGUAUUAAACGUAGACUAUUUACAAAAUUCAGUGGAGGUUAAACGGCGAGAUGAAUCUAUUAAGCCUAAUUAAUCUAUCAUUAGCAAAUGUUUACUGUAGCAACACAUUGUCAAAUCAUGGACUAAUUAGGCUUAAUAGAUUCGUCUCGCCGUUUAGCCUCCAUUUAUGUAAUAGGUUUUGUAAAUAGUCUACGUUUAAUACUCCUAAUUAGUAUCUAAACAUUCGAUGUGCAUGUAACCAAACCAGGCCUAAUAACAUCACCGCCACUUUCAAAGAUGUUUUGUUGAGUAUUUUUCGUUAAAAAACAAACAAAACGAAGUAAUCCUAGAUAUAGUUUCUUUUGCGAAGCUUGGGUUAGUUGAUUUUGUGAUUGUUGAAUUUAUUAUAAACAUCUUAGUAUCUUACUAUGCGUCUAUGUGGCCAACUACUAAAAAUGUAAUUAGCUGUAAAUACAAAUAAGAACGGCCGUGCGGGAUUAGUACCUCGGAAUGAUUGAUUGAAAAAAUAAUUAAUCACCUGAGCGUAUUUUUAAGCUUCUCGGAUGAUACUCCGUACUUGUAGUAAUCCAAACCUUCGCGAGUUUCGAACAACUUCACCAGUAAAAAACACGUGACGUUCUUGUAAGCUCCACCGAACUUUGUCGUGACUCGCACGGAUGUACUGACUGGCACUUCCUACGGUCAAGGUCGUACCGAUGUUUUUCAACAGAGCGCAACCUCGGCUACCGUGCUUGUAUCACAGCCGUCGCAGUGUGUUUAUAAACGUUUGGACUCUGAAGGCAGUCAGGCACCGUUGGUGUUUUUUUCCCCUCUGAUCUCUGAACAGCGAGCAUGGUGUUUAUUUAAGGCGCGUUUGGAUACCGGCUAAACUUUAGUCUUGUCACAUCGGAUGUUCGGAUACUAAUUAGGAGGAUGAAAUAUAAACUAAUUACAAAACUAAUUGCAGAACCUCUAGGCUAAAUCGUAAGACGAAUUUAUUAAACCUAAUUAAUUCAUCAUUAGCGAAUGGUUACUGUAGCACCACAUUGUCAAAUCAUGAACUAAUUAGACUUAAUAGAUUCGUCUCGCGAUUUAGCCUAGAGGUUGUGUAAUUAGUUUUGUAAUUAGUAUAGGUUUAAUACUCCUAAUUAGUAUCCAAAUAUUUGAUGUGACGGGAGCUAAAAUUUAAUCUCCUCCUCCCAAACACCCCCUUAUUAAACAUCUCUGAAGAAUCAAACUGUGCUGUGAGUUUUUUUUUUUACGGUAGCGUCCGACGUCCCCAGCUGUAAAAAGUCAUAAACCAUCCUGGCCCAGCUGGAAAACAAGUGGCAGUAGUAAAAGCAGCCGCAUUUACGCCACCCCUGCCACGGGCUGCGCUCGUACCCUGAGCUGUGCCCACGCUGUGCUGUGGUGGUCCCACCCCCACGACGCGGGCACCACACCACCUCCCGGCUCCCCACCUGCACGCCAUUCCUCCACGCGCUUCCGGAUUCAAAAUUUCCCUCGAGACCGCGCCGUGGGCAGGCCACCCGCCACCCCCUCCGCCGCCGCCCAGCAGCGGACGGCGCGAGUUGGGCCAGCCGCGCGCGUCCGUGGGGGAUCGUGCGGUCGCGUCCGCUCCGCGCGGCACGCGCGUGGGUUGCGGAACGGGACUGGAGAUGGGCUAGUGGGGCUUGGGGGUAUUCUGGUGAAAUUUCUCCGAGAUCCGGUGGUACUUGAGGCGACAGGGCCUCUCCGGGCGCGAUUUGGUCCAUGGAUUUGCGGAAACGACCCUCGAUUUCCAUGAAUUCAAACGGGCGCACCCAAACACGCAGUGGGGAAAAUUUGAACGGGCGCACCAAACUCGCAAGGCACUGGGGACAUCGGUGAAGCAAAGCAAGUUUGAUUUCUACGGCAAUUAACAGCUUCACUGAGCAUUUGCUUCAGGCGUAAUUUUUACUAGAGAUAGCUGCAUUGUUUGGCAACGAAUGAUUUUAAUAACAACGUGGAAAAUACGGUAACCAGACAAUCUGUUUUAGUCAGGAAUCAAGAAGAGCUACGGUGGUGGAAUAAUUUGCAUAUAUACACUCCGUUGCAAAUCUUAAAUCAUCAUUUUUUGUUUGUCUUAAGUGACCAAGUUAUAGGAAAAAUGCAUAAAUAUUUACAACAGGAAACUAGUUUCACUAGAUAGACCAUAAAAUAUAUUUUGGUAGUACAUUUAUUUUAUACAUAUUAGUAUUUUUAUAAAUUUCUUUAAAAUUAGAUAAAUUUUACUUAAAACACAUGACAUAAUUUGAAUGAAACCGAGUGAGUAUUUUUAUAAAGGAAUACUCUUCAUGAUACAUUGUAUUCAUGAUAAAUAUUUUUGGAAUUAAAUGAUUUUAAUUUACAUAAGAUUUGUAUGACGCAUCGUCAAUAUUUAAAGAAAAAACUUUCAUUUAAUGUUUCACCACAGCUUACAUGCCACCCAAUGUUUGCCUCAUAUGCGGGGAUCCUAGUUCCAUAACACAAGUCAGCCGCGCAUAGUUUUGAAUAACAUAUUUAUUGAAGUGACUAUUUUGUGAUCAUCACCCAUAGCAUUACCAUAUUAGUUACCAUGCACUACCCAAAUACACUCUCACAAAAAAAAGUUAGCUGUGGUUUAAAAUAAAACUCUGUAUAUGAAUGUAUUUUUAGCUUUUGCAAUGAAAAGAUGAAAAUAGUUAUAUGAACACAUGUUUCUUUUACCAUCACAUCAAAAUCUGGUGAACCUUAUUCAUCCUUUACCUCCCCCACCCAUCGAACUCCUUUCUAAUGCAAGCUUGGAUGAUGACUUUCUCUCCUCAAUUCAGACAUUCUGAGCUAAUUUUGCAAGCCAAGAUGUGCCCAUUCCGACAUCAUUCAAUGAUGGCGUUUCACAUCUCACAUAUUGGGUUAUGCAACCGUUGCUCCAUGCACAUCUGCCAUCACUUCUAGUUUACUCUCCCAUUAGCGACCUUCCCCUAAAACCAGCGGGCGGAUGUACAGAGCCCUCCUACUGACCAAGAGCUCCAUUAGAGCCAAAAGGAGGAAGAUGAGGAGAAGAAGGGAAAAAGAAAAAGGAAAGGAGGAAAAAGUUGUGAAGAUGGAGGAGGAGAAAGAAGCAAGCUCCUCUUAAGAUUUAAUUCUACCUCUGCCACUACCUAAAAUAGACUUACUUUGGGGGCGUUUUCUUCUACUGUCUUAUUUUUAGCACGUGUCACAUUGAAUGUUUAGAUACUAAUUAGGAGUAUUAAACGUAGACUAUUUACAAAACUAAUUACAUAAGUGGAGGCUAAACGGCGAGACGAAUCUAUUAAGCCUAAUUAAGCCUAAUUAAUCCACCAUUAGCAAAUAUUUACUGUAGCAACACAUUGUCAAAUCAUGGACUAAUUAGGCUUAAUAGAUUCGUCUCGCCGUUUAGAUUCGUCUUAUGUAAUGGGUUUUGUAAAUAGUCUACGUUUAAUACUCCUAAUUAGUAUCUAAACAUUCGAUGUGACGGGUGCUAAAAAUAAAUCAGUGGAAGAAAACGGGACCUUUGACGAAGGCAAUCUCAAUUCUAACUCCCCUAAUUAGAAUUAGGUUGACCAUCAGAGAUGGGGAAGAAACUCCCCCACCCAUGGCUCGGUGUGCCACGUCGAGUGAGAAAAAAAGAAUGCAAGCAUGAACCCUUGUGUUCUUCAACUCUUUCGCGAAAAAAAAAGUGAGCCAAAUCUUCUCGAUAUAGGCUCACCCGCUUAACAAGAAUACGUGGUUCCUACUCCACACGAGAACAUUCCUAACAAUACUGUAUCCUUGGGUUCCACAACUAAACAACACACACAUUCUCCACGUUCCUCUCACGUCGAGCUUGCUCGGAACAUUCCUGCAACCUUCCAGCCGAGCCGGACUGGAAGGAGCAGAGGCGCGCAAAAGCAACGAAAGUGUGUGCGAGUGUGACGCUCAGGGAGACGGAUGCAAAUACCGCAGAACGCGAGGGGUGCGUCCCCACAAAGAGGUUAACCACCGCGUCGUUAUAAGUACAGCGUGGGGCUCGCCUCGGACAAGCCCCCGGCCGUCUCCAUCCCAGAUUCCGAGAGCGCUCCACAGGCCAGGUCCCAUCGCGCUGCGGCACCCCCCGGCCCGCGCCGCCUCUCCCAUCCCGCCCGGUCGCCUCGCCGCCGCUGCCGAGAUGGGGUUCGUGUCCUUCGUCGGGAGGGUGCUUUUCGUCGCCGCCUUCCUCCUCUCCGCUUACCAGGAGUACGCGCCCCUCCCCUUUCCUUCACCUGUCUUCUCAUUCUCAUUGUCGUCGUGCCUGCUCGCUGUGUCGUUUCGAGUCCGGUUUCGGUAGAUCUGGCGCGGCGCCCGCGAAAUCCGAGUGGGAAUGGGCUCUGGGAGGACCAAAGUGCGUGGAUCUCGCGGUGGAUAGUUUGAUUUGUGGGGUCAGGGGGUGCGGAUCUGCUCAUGUUUUUUUAACCGCUUGGUACACGAAACGUCGUAAUUUUGGUCGUAGGCUUUUUUUCGAUCUGCAUCUGGGCAGUUGAAUUUCCGCAUUGAUCUGGAGAUUUGGAGGCAGCUGAAGUAGAACAUCUUGUAUGUACUUGUUUUAAGUUUCUUACUGCCACUUGUACUCUGAUCUGGGGUUCGGAUCUUCUACUCAGCUGGAUUUGUGAGUUAUACGUGCCAUAUAAAGUAUUGCAACUGCUGCCGAAUCAGCUUACAUGUCAUCCCACUAGUCAAAAUUCAAAUUAGGCCUAGUCAGCCUUCGGAGAUUUAGUUUUUAAGGUUCAUGCAUGGAUUUGAAUCCGCAUUGAGUUUAGCUGCUAGUUAGGAAGUAAGCGUAACAUAAUUCAACACCUCAUCUUGGUAGUGGGAUGCCAACACGCAUGCAGCACAGCAAUUAUGAAUCACGGGCAAUUGUCAUGGAACUUCCUCAAUAGGAGUGAAAUACCACUAGAUCAAACUGGUCCACUGCCAAAUCUUUCUUGGCUAAUAAAAAAAUACCUCUAUUGGCUUACAGCAGUAACAACAGGGUUGUCAAGGUAUGAUGUGGGAAAGAGCAGUUUGGAUUAGGUCUCCCCCAAUUGGAGGUGAUAAAAGAGCUCAAGUACAAUCCUUAAGUUAUCACUGGCGAGUUGUUGAUUUCAGUUGCUAUCAAUGAUUAUGAUGCCUCCUUGGGAGAUUAGAGAAGUAACAAAACCCUAGAUGUUCAUUUUGCUGCUUCUGUUUGAGUGGAGUUUGUGAGCAGCAAAAACACACGCAGCAGACUGAUCAAAAUCACAAAAGCACUGCUGUUCCGGACUAUUUUCUUCCCGCUUUCCUUUUUUUUUUGGCAUAUGUGUUGUGAACUUCUAUUGCAGCAGUUGCAACUAGGCGAAUGCCUUUUUUUUGUUGCUUCCGUGCUUUUUCAAGGAAGCAUCAUGAUCAUUAACUGCAACAGAAAUCAUUGUCUCACAAUUGUAUCUGUGCUUGGGCUCUUUGUCAUCUGCAUGUGAAGGAUAUAACACAAGAAUGCUUCAACACUCCUGCCUAAUGUGAUUGUUGCCUAAUCAAGUCAUACUGCUACACAGUGUUGCCCACUUAAGGCUGAGUUUGACAAGUUUGGACUAGUGCCUAGUAGGAAAAAAUCUUGACUAAAGAAGAUCCAUUUGACGGAUUAGCUUGUUAGGGGAGUUCGUGAGUUGUGACAUUGUUUUUGUUCGUAUUAGGAUCUAUAUUUUGUUCACCUUUCAGUAUUAUUUCCAAUUGAGGUGUCCAUAACCAGUUCACUGGAAGCACACCUCAUAUGUAAUAUAAUUAUAAACUUCCUUUGGCUGUCUAAUUCUAGCUCACAUGCCGAAGGAUUCAGGAUAGCUACUGUUCUGUUACUUGACCAUAUGUUAGAUGACUUAAUAGUCUUGGUACUUCAUACCUGGUUUUACCCUCAUUCAUUAAAGUGUACUUUUGUGGGUGCAGGUUUAAUGAAUUUGGAACUGAUGGUGGGCCAGCGGCAAAGGCCCUUCAGCCCAAGUUCAAUGUGUUCGUAAAAAAUAUCUCUUCGCAUCUUGGAGUAGCUGUGCCUCAUAUUGAGGUGAUAAUUUAUUUUCAUGGCAUCUUUCUUGUUGAUGUUGUUGAUUGUUGUUUUGUGUAGCUUACAUUUUUUCUUUUACCUACCCAGUUGAAGCAUGUUAUUGCUGCUACAAUCGCUCUUAAGGGCCUUGGAGGUCUCCUUUUUAUCUUGAGCAGCUCUCUCGGUGCUUACCUCCUGGUAUGUGCUCUUUGCUCUGUUUGCUUUGCUGUCAUCUAUUUCCUUUAAUCUUUCACCUUUCCUUUUAUAUAAGUAAAUAAUCACAUUUGCAUUCAUCCCUUUAUCUGAGAACUUCAAUGGAAAUGAAGGCUCUAUGUCUAGAAGCACAUGACACCUUUUUCGUAUUUCGUGAUAAAGUAGGAUGCACAUGCGCACAUAUUCAUUGCUUAAGCUGCUCAUGAUGAAAAUAUUGCUCUUUGUCUAGUGAAUUUUGCUAUGCAGAUAGCAUCUUCAUGUAGUCAUUUGCUAUUUUAUUUUCAGUUGAAUUUAAAUGGCAACAAUGUAAGUUUCGGUGUUCGAGUUGGGACUGUUCUGUGCGCAUAUUUGGGUUUCUGUUUUUUUUUUUAAAUUUUACUUUCUAACAUAAUUGAACCUGGGUACCAGUUUUAAUUUUCUUUUUGACUAUUGAGAAACAGAUAAGGAUAUCCUCACACGUUCAUAUUCUCUUUAUGCUGUUGCAAUCUGGAUCUAAAAAUCAUUGUGUAAUGAUGCAUAUGGUUAUGUUAAUCUGGAUAAAAUGUUUGUUGUGUAACGAUACAUAUGUUUAAAAAUCUGAACCUACCAAGGUAUGAUCUUCCAUGCUAAGCAACAAAAUUUUCUUUUCCGUUCCAUAUGGUCUACUUUUAUGUCUUGCAUAUACUUUUAUCUAAGUUUCGACAUGGUAGAUCUUGUUUCUAACUGUUUUUUUGUUGCACCCUGUGGUUCUUUAUUUGAGAACCUAAUUAAGAGGAUAUUAUUGUACUCCUCCGUUUUCAAAUCUUUGAUGUAUAUGACAAGCUACUUGCUAAAGAAUGUAUGCUCCAUAUUUCAGCAUAAGUACACUAUCUGAUACUGUAGCUCUCCAUUUGUUGGCCCUAGUAAAUAUUGAUAAUCAAUCUUCAAUCUUGACAAAAAUGCACUAUGAUUUUUUGUAUUGCUCACCUUGUGUCCGUUGCCCCAUUUUUCAGCUGUUUUGCGUGAUAGGGUGUUGCCUUGUGAUGUACACAUUGUUUGCUAAGCAUCAUCGCUUGUUUCUUGAUGCUACUCCUGUUAUUUUGCUACUAUGUAAUUUGUUUUGCUUUUGGGGCUUAGGUCAUGCUAUGUUUUUCCAGGAUCUUGGUCCUUAGGCUCCAUGGUGACAUGCACUAUUCUUUUUAUUGUGAAUUUAGACAAAUCUGAUCUGUUGGUUUGUCGGUGUAGCAGCCCUAGCCACUACUAAUGAAGUAUUUCAUCUUUGCAGUUGUUGUACCUUGCCUUUGUCACCCCUAUUGUGCAUGACUUCUACAAUUACGACAUGGAGAAGGCAGAAUUUGCCCAGAUCUUUGGGAAGUUCACCCAGGUAAUUGUUGUUUGCAAUUCUGCUAAGCAAUGCAUAGUCUGUCAAAGUAUAUGAAUAUCACAUGAUACCUUGUGAUUGCAGGAUUUGGCACUCAUUGGAGCACUUCUCUUCUUCCUGGGCAUGAAGAACUCCAUCCCAAAGCGGCAGGCCAAGAAGAAGGCUCCCAAGGCGAAGACGAACUAAGGCAAUCUAGAUAGUUGCAGCCGUAGGGGCCUCAGGCAGUGUCAGGAGACGGUCUAUUUUGAAGCAAGCUGCGAUGUGAGCCAAUGCCGUCGUGCGGCGCUUUCAUAUGUAUCAGAUUCCAUUUUGCAGGGCACGGCCCGAACGAAGGUGUGAGUGGUGGAUUAGGCGACUAAAUUGUACCAUUAUGUACUUGCGAUUGGUUUGUUGGACUAGGUUGCCAAUGAUUAAUCUUCUCCAUUUGGUUUAUCUUGCACUGGGCCUUGUUAGCAGUGCAGGAAAUAGCUACAGAUAAUGGCUGGGAAUUCUUUCUUACAUCGUCUCUUGUCAUUUUGUGAAUUGUGAGUCGAGUUAGUACACCAGUGUGGCGCCGUGAUUCACACUAAUCCCGACUAAUGCCCGCCAAGUAUGUAGCAUAAGAGACCAGAACUGACAGAUCAAAUUUUAACGCAGGUAUGCCAGGGUUCUUCGCUGUUGUCUAGCAGCUUUUAGGUUGUGUUUCAUUGCAUAUCGGGCUGUGCCUAAAAUGUGUUUGGGGGCUUUUGGGCCUAAGGAUCACAGGGACCGGGAGGGGCCUCUAAUGUCUAAUGUUCUUUCGCUAACCAACUGUUUUUUCCCUGCAACAAAUCCGGCAUGUUUCAAUGGUACAUGUUAUUGAGUCAUCGAGUCAGCAGCUCCGCUGCUUCGCUCACUAGAGUCUGCUAUGAAGUCUGAAGUAGAGUCAGGUGACCACGGUUAUUGUACCCACAGAGACUCAAGACUCAGGAGUUACAACACUUACCAACGCGGUUUUCACUGUGUUGCAGAAUCUGUUGUGCCUGGCUAACCUCAAGUCUCCGGCAUUAUCAGGCAAUUCGGGAGCGUCAAGUCCGAAUCACCCACAGCAAACGCUUCGGCUCCGGUAGCCAACAAGGGCAAGCUCGUCAAACUCUACACGAGUAGGAUCCUGCCACAAUUAUUCCCCGCCGUUGCUAGGCACAUUUCUUCCAAGCUGCUCCAACCGGCUACCGGCGCCAACACGCUUUCCCCUUCAAUUCUACUAACAUUUUGGAUGAAUCUGUCGGCAUCCGGCGAUGCCAUCCUCCACCCACCACACGCAUGUGGUAAGAACUAAGAACUGCAUCGCCGAGUGUUUCACGGCAAAACGCAACCUGACUCGAGCAUGCUCACGAUCAAGGUAGGCAUCGGCGAGUCCGGCCGGAUUCGAGACGGCCGGUCAAGUCCCAAAACCCUUGGUCCUCUAAUACGGCCAAUUCCCACAGCGGCCAACCUACCUCAACGCCUUGAUUCAAUUCAAGAAGGGUUGCUUAAAAACCCCCCCAAAAGGCUCCCCUGUUUGCCACGGCCUGAUGGCACCAAACUGGAGUCCCUGUCACGAACCCUCGCCUCCAUUGGACGUGCGACGCAGCAUGAGGUGACUCGAUCGCUUGUCCUCUUGCACCCCAAAAAAAAAACA